GCGACACCGGCCCGGGAAGCGCUCCCGGGGGGAAAGGGGGGCGGCCAGAGAAAGUGAAAGUGUAACAGUAAUAACAGCAGCAAUGGGUAUUUCACUCAGUACUUCACUGAAGAUUCAACACUUUCCUGGAGAGGUUACACUGUGUGGAAUACUGGGUUGAAAACAGCUAAAAGGAGGGAAGAUUCCACAAUAUUCACCUUUUUCUCUCAGCACUUUCUCUGUCAGUGAAUGAAUCCUCAAACACAGAUUCACCUACUGGUGUAAGCUGAAAAUUCUAUAUUCUACACAUCUCUACUGUCCAAAUGAAAACAUAUCCA